rnacentral:rRNA from 1 species
CGGGUUGUAAAGCACUUUCAGUAGGGAGGAAGGUAGUGUAGUUAACACCUGCACUAUUUGACGUUACCUACAGAAGAAGCACCGGCUAACUCCGUGCCAGCAGCCGCGGUAAUACGGAGGGUGCGAGCGUUAAUCGGAAUUACUGGGCGUAAAGCGCAUGCAGGCGGCCUGUUAAGUCAGAUGUGAAAGCCCGGGGCGUUAACCUCGGAAUUGCAUUUGAAACUGGCAGGCUAGAGUCUUGUAGAGGGGGGUAGGAAUUUCAGGUGUAGCGGUGAAAUGCGUAGAGAUCUGAAGGAAUACCAGUGGCGAAGGCGGCCCCCUGGACAAAGACUGACGCUCAGAUGCGAAAGCGUGGGGAGCAAACAGGAUUAGAUACCCUGGUAG